ACUUGCCCGGUCAGGAGAAUUUUAAAAUUUGUUCACCAACUUUUAGUGCUGGUGAAUAGAUUUUGGUUGUUGGGAAGUCCACCUCCUCACCUGUAAGUGGGGGGAUGUAUACCUCUCAUAUCCCCAUGGUUUUAUUAUUAUUUUUAGGCUUCGGUUUUUUGCCUUUCCUUUGGUUUGAUUUUCCUUUGUCUUUUCUUUCACUAUAGCAGUAUCUCUGUAAAGGAAUCAACCUUACCGGGAAUUUGUACACCUCCACAUUGCAUUUCUUUCUUUUUUGGGGGGGGGGACUUGGCAACAUGCUGUUGAUGUUUGGUUCCAACAGAUAAAUCCCAUGUUCCUGACAGUAGAAUUUUAACUUGCAUGGCUGUGAUGCCAAUACUGCUCAUUGCAUUCCUGAAAUAGAAACACAAACUCCCCUGAAAAAAAGAAGAAACAGUCUCAAGUCAGAUUAAUGCCACCCCUCGUCAUCAAGGGUAUGGUGUGGCCAAAAGGGCUUUUGCUCCUCCCCAACCCAGCAAGUCAGGUGUUUUUCUUUUUUUUUUAAUAAUGAAAGGCAACAUGUAUUUUAUUUCCCCGUCUUCAGAGAGCAUUAAAAAAGCCCUAAAGUGUAAUCCCGCCCCUCAGAAAGGAGAUAAAGGUUAAAGGAAAAAAAUCCAAUUUUUUAAGGCCUCCCCUAAUGCGGUUGGUUCGAAAUCCACCCUUAUCCACCCUGUUUUGCAAUUACUGCCAAUAUAUUCUGUCACUAGUGUAUAACUGUUGUUAUAUCCAAGUAUAUUUAUUAUGCUACCUGUACAAUUUACCCAAUAGCCAUAGAGCAAGAAAUAUGUAGCAUUUCGGAUUUGUACCAGUCAACAUUUUGACAGGACUGAGUUGUCCAGCUCAGGGCACUUUUUAUUGUCUAGAAUAUUCCUGCCCCAUAUGGGAUCAUAACAGAGUAAUACAGUCUGUUCAGUUUGACAGAAGUAAGCUUGCUGUUUUUCCCCUCAAUUAAAUUUCUAGAAUUUUCCAUCAUGCCUUAGGGUAAUUUUGGGCGAGUGGGACAUUCAAGCAAAAAUGGUAUAAGUGUUUGAUGAGAUGGAGUUUGCUUCUACAAAUUGACCAAUUUUUUCAUACAUUUCAGGCACUGAAUUAAUUUGAAUAUCAAGAGAGGUGACCAGCACUGUCUUUUGUCCCACAUACUCAAGACAGUGGAACGGCCGUUUAAAUAUGUUAUUUGAAUCACAGAAAUCAUUACUUCUCCCUUUUGUAGCAAUCGUGUUACAUCUGUCAGAUGAUUGAAAUUUAUAAUACAGCAAGCAGAUAUUGUGAGACUUUGAUUGAUCGUCAAUAUUUUCUAAGAAUUGCUUCAAAUAUUGAUCAGCGAAAAUGUACGAUUACAGGUGAUUUUCAAGACAAAACGAUGGCUCUACCUGCAAGUGGACACCGUUUCGUGUGCUAAUUUUUCUGCUGAAAAUGUUUCCUCCAGUAAGUGUUUUUAGGAAGUAUUAGGAAAAAUAGCCACCAAGUUAGUGUCCUACUUGCCCUAUUCUCACUUACCCCUCUUUCUGGACAAUUAAAUGGGUCGUGUUUUGUAUUUGGUCUUUGCAGUCUGAUUGUAUGCCGCCAUUUAAUUUAUUCCCGGUACUUACCAGAAAAGCUUUUAAUGUGCACAUAACUGCUUGAGAAAAAAAAAUGGUGUGACAAGCGAUGAUCGAUGGUAAACUAUUUUAAGUGCGUAUUUUAAUUUUGUGCACAGAUACAUGCCUGAAAAGUGGAAUAGUAUUAAAAUUGGUAUGUGCAUAUUCAUAAGCCUACUCCGCAUUGCGUGGAAGUUUAAUGCGCAUCCAACACUGCCGAAGCUGCGUUCACAUGUGCUGCCGAUAUUCUGAACAGAUAUAGGAUGGUGCUGCGUUAGUGUGUUCUCGCUAAGUUUAAACCACACCCACUACACUUAAUAAGCUUAGUUUGAUCAGCGGCGAAUUGUCAACCAAUGGUCCAUUUUGACUGGUAACCUAUGCAUGACAUAUAUACCGGGCACCUGGCAAAUUGACCAGUGGUUAACAAAUUGUCGCUAAUCAAACUAGAAAAUAAACAUGGGACCAUGGAACUGGAAAUCAAUGCAUAAUUCGAGUGUUCAGCUAAUAGGAGUUAAUGAUCACUGGUACGUGUGCGUUGUAAGUGAAGCCACUUCAGUACAAACCUCUUCUCAUACCAUUCGCGCAAACAAUCAACAGUUACAUUUCUGCCAUCUUGAAAUAACCACGUGAUGGAAGAAUUAACUCGUGAUACUCCUGUUUUUUGUCCACUUGGGUGGCGGUGUGCUAUUGUCCUUAUCGCAUAUCCUGGGCAUUUACAUAUCUGUGAGGUAACACGGGUGUGGCCGGCCCAUACCUGUACAUGCAGCCUUUGCAAUCAUUACAACGGAAAGACUGCAAAACGACAUACGUGCAUGAGUCUGCACGUAUGCAGAGCCUACAUCGCACAGAUCUCUAGUUUUGAAUGGCAUUUUUUGUUUAUUUUUCACAGGUGAUUUGAAAGAAAAGUUAUAUAGUCGUCAUAGUGCUGCAAGAUAUAAAAGUCAAUUUUUUCCGUCAUAGUUUAAUCGGGAAAUGUAUAUAUAUAUGAACACUGACAGGUUUUCAUGCCAUGAAAUAAUUUCACCUCUGACACAGUACGGCGUCUUGAGAGCAAUUACCUGAAUUACAUCCGGUUUUUAUAGGUUACAAUAAUUUAUCAAUAAUUAGUUCGUCCAUAAGCUUGUCGCAGGAACCAUGUUGGUUCCAAAGUCUGAAGUUGGCGCUACUAAUCAGUUCUGGUACUGGAUGGAACAAUGUAAAAUAGGCCUAUUAAUUAUUAAAAAUAAAUAUCGUAUGAAAAUGAACCCUGGAAUCGAGCCCAUGAUAAACAAAGAGAACAUGUCUACAAAGUCAGUGAGCUAAUAGGAACUGCGGAACAUCCGCGAUUUCAACAAUGUUACUCUUCUUCGAACGAUUUCUCCACAGAUCCACGCAGUGGAGCAGUGAAACCCUAAUACAUCAGUGACUGACAUAGUAAAAUCCACAAUUAUGGUUAUUGCGAGGUCCUCUUUCUUGAAAACGGCGACUGGCUGCCAUUAAGUUAAGCGUCAAAUAGGCCCUCGAGCCUUUUAGGCGUUGAAUCAUCGCUUACGGUAUACGGAGCCCACGUGCUAGCGGUGCCUCGUACAUAAAUAACCGUGGCUGUGGUGGCUGCACGGUCCUGAUGGAGAACGCCCUCAAUGUUCAAAUUAUGAAGAAAACUGACAUUUCGGGAAUUUCCCCGUUGAAUUACAAAACAGGAUGUACAUGUACUGUGCGCAGCAGUUUUACAGAAAUAGGCCUUUACUGACCUGAGGCCUCAUCCAUCGUCGCUGGAUCAGAGGAGUUUAUGUCUGGUUCAUGUUUCUGAAGCAAACUGAGCAGGGGUUCGACCAAGCUGCAUGCAUCAUUGAGAUCAAACCUGUAUGAAAAGCCAGAAGUCAAAGUGCAAAGCUUUCUUGGCGUAAUACGAAUUUCUUUAAUUGCACUCUCGAUUGAAAAUAAGAAGUUUUCAACUAUACAAUGGGAGGAGACUCGACACUCAGUUUUGCAUUCGCCGUCCCAACUGCAUUGGGAGUAGUCAGCGUCACCGUGGAGGCUGUAGGAUUGACAGCUUCUGCAGCAACAGUAGCUAUUAUUGGGGUCGCUGCCGUGGGUGGAGCUGUGAUUGGAGUUGUCAUUGGCUAUUCCGUGGGAUCAACGCUCGGAAGUAUUAAGAAGAGUAGACGGAAACAAAAAGCACGGAUGAAAUAGGCACCGUUAUUGUACAGUUCUUGCAAAGCGAUUCUUAAGCCGUAGACCCACUGCAAAAUUUCUCCUCAAUUUUCUUUGUAGAAUUUAAUGUUAACUUAUCUCAUCAAUAAUGACUCGUUAAUUUCUGAAUGCGUAUGAUUUCUAGAUCAGUACCCGAAGAAUCCAACUGAAUCAAAAUAAACGGAAGAGCAAAGAUGUAAUAUGCUGAAACUGUCAAAGCUUUCUUUGUAACUGUUACAACACAGAAGCAUGUUUGAAUUCUGCUAGAGUUUCCAACUUAUGGCAGUUUAUGAUAAGAGUGCAUCGAAAUCCAAAUGAAAUUGAGUAUUGUCUUGACUAUGUAUAGUUGGUUAUUCUCCAGAAGUGCAAGCUUGUAAUAGUUAAUUCUUUAUUCCAAACCAGCAUAUAGCGAAUUCCACGAGUGGGAGUACACGUACGUAACUUAUAACGGUUAUCAGCUUAUCGGAAUGACACAUGUAACCAAUUUUCUUCGACAAUCUAUAAUAUCAGUAUUAACAUUCAGCAAUACUAUACGAACUAUAUUGAACGUGUAUAGGCCUAUUAGACCCAUGGUAAUCAACAUUCAUCAUUUGGUAUGAUUGUUUCAUUCAACAUAUUUUUGUGAGAAAAUUGCAAGUUAUUUGUCUUUUUUCGCUCGACCCAUUUCAUUGUAGAACGGUCCACUCUGAUCUUACCCAACCUCGUUCCCAUGGCACUUAAGCAGUUAUGCUAGUUUAUGCACCGCCCUUCCUAGAAUAAGUUUAAUGCUGCAUGAAUUUUUUUCGAGCUUUCGUUGAAAUCCGAUCGAACAAUUACAACACGGGACAACUGGACAAAACUCCACAAUAUUUUGUACGUCUGUAGUUUUACCAUCACAAAAUUCUGUGAAGGGCAUUCGCCCACUUCAGUACCGUUUGAGGGCGUUGAGUGGACGAGCGAAUUGAUCAGUCCGCCGUGGCUGCUCUGUAGCUACUAUGAAUGAGGUUGUCGGAUUGAUCUCGAAAAGAGGAUGGAUGACAACGCCCUGUCGGGUGUUUCAAUUAUAACUACGUAACUGUACAAAGGAUGGAUGUAUGCUGCCCCCGGAGACUUCUGUGCCUUCGUCCCCUUGAUAUUUUGAAAUGUACAUGGCCUAUACACAGGCCAAAUAAAUUGGUAUAUUUUUGCCACCUUAAAAAAAAUGUGUGCACUCCCAGUCUCCCCUCAGAAAUGUCAUCAUAUAGUUACGCAAUAGACCUGACCUUAUGCACAUGACGUCACUGAGCGUAUCUUCCUGUGGGAUAGGCUCGAGUAAACGUCUUGUUUAACGAUAUUAGAAUACUCAGUCUGAGACACAGCAAUGCAUAACCUUUGUAACAAGCCACCUUAUGCUGAUAUCACUUCAUAUAACUUGCUUUAAGUUUAAAUAAUCAUUUACUUUCCUGUCUCAUGUAAUCAGAAUUACUGCUUUAUAGAUUUAACGCAAUAAUAAUACAGUAAAUGAGUAAAAUA